AAAAUGAUUAAUAUAAUAAUUAUAAAAUAAAUAUGUAAAUAUUCAUUUAUGAAACUAAGAAUUAUAGUAUAGCUGGGCUAUUGUUUCAUUCAGUUUGCGAUUGACAUGUUUAAAAGGAACAGAACCUCGCAUCUGUAAAUUUGAACAAAGGAACCGAACAUUUUGUGAAAAACAAUGAGAUACCAUCGUACAAUGGUUUUGAAUAGAGCGCACAGAUAUCAGAGUUCUGCGCGAGUUAUGCGUCUAUAUAGUUGUGUGUAUCGAAAGAAAAGUGUAGAGGGGUGGUAUAAGAGAAAACAGAGAACCACGAAAUCGAGAUUGGGGUAGGUUUCCUUUGAUCCUUAACAAGGAACGCAAAGUUGUAUUAUUUCCACCUGAAUUUCAAACGGUUUGAAAUUUACGAGGCGUGAAACGUGGCUCUAUUCUCUUUCUCUUUUUCUCGUAACCCUUCUAUAUACAUCGUUCUCCUUUACCCUUCUCUUUCUCAUUCUUUGCUCCUUUUUGGCAGUACGGGAGCAAGUCGGCAUCGUUUACUGAUGUUGCCAAUUCAAUUUCUUCUGGCGAACCAUUGUCGUGGGUGGAAGGAGGGUUGUAGUUGUAAAAAAAAAGGGGUUCCCCUUUCCAACCGAAUCGUCUCUACUUUCACGACAGUGCGUAUGACAACUGCUGACAUCUGGGCAUCUUUAAGUUCAUUCUAGGAAGAAAAACUGAUUGUUACUGUAAAGAUGUCUAUAGACAUGUAGGAUGAGAGGUACGUAAUUGGUUAACCGGUAAUUAAAGUGCACUAUAUAUCGGUCAUCUUUAUGAAAACGCCAGACCUUGUGAGGAGAAAAUUAAUUGUACGCGGGGUUGAGAACGGAAAAUCGCGAAAACAAAUGAACCUUCGACGAAGCGUGUUUUUUUCCUGGCACAAUGAGUUUCGAAGCGGUGAGCAACAGCGAAAUUGUUAAAACGUUCGUUGUUUAUGGUCGACCCGGCGGAACAGCCGGUAAAGGAGGAAACAGUACGCAACGAAGAGAGCGAGUGAUUCCUGAUUGCUAAAACUUGAACUAGUUUAAAAAGAAGCUUUUUUCCACAUACCAUCUACUUACUUUGGUACAUGGAUUUUUAUUUUAUGAACUUUUGUAUUGGUAUGAGUGAUUAAGAAGAAGGAUGUUUGAGGAUUUUAAAGUAUGUUAUUUGAAAUGAUUUCCAAACACUUUAACAUAGUUUCUCUAUGUUAUCUAGGAGAAGGUAUUAUCAUCAUUUAUUCAACAUACAGUAGAUUCGUUCUUAAUACUGCGCUUGCGGACUUUCUCGUUCUGUAAAAUUAAAACCAGUCUCUGACAAUAUUUUGCAUAAAAAAUAACUUUAAUACUUUGAUAUCAGGCUAUUGGUUGCCGAUGGAACCGAAGGUAGAGAAGCCGAAGAUCGUUGUAUAGGUAUCUCUCUGUCGGUAGCCGUAGCACCCUUCUUUUCUGCGCCACGAAAAGGCACUUGAAAUAAAUUGAAAAUGGCUGGUAUCGCUCUGCUCUCGGAUAAGUGAUACCUACAUCACCUACACGCACAUCGGUCACCGCAGACAUCCAUGCCGGUUGCAGGAGGAAAAUUGAAAUCUGAAUGAAAAGGGUGGCGUUCUUCACGGUAAUCGAAAUCCUAUGGAGAAUUUAACGAAUUCAAUUUACCCGCCAUGGAUGACACACUACAAGUAUGCAAUCACCUUUUUUUUUGUUUUUUUCCCUGAUGGGAAUAUUGGAAUUUUGUUCAUUCGGAUUUGAACCAUAUGGUAAUUGUAAAACACGCACGUUAAUUGAAAGACAUCCGAUGAAAUUUCAAAUGUUUUAAUCCCACUGUAGGGGACUAUGGACACGCAGAACUUUUAUAACACCUGAAGACAACGGUACUGUUGGGUAAAAUUAUGUUAUUGUACGAAAAGAAGGAAGCGUUCAAAUUUCCAACUGAUCCACUGGUGGAGAACGUGUUAAUUUGUUGGACAUAUCGAAUCAUCGAAACUAAUGUCUAAAACGGUAUCUUUUUUCCCCCGUUCGACAGGAUGAAGCAGGAAUUGGAAUAUCAUCGAUGGCUUUCUAUUAGGACAGAUGGUCUGUCUCGUUAUUCGAUGAAAUCGAGCUCGUCGAAAAUUUAUGCACUCCCUGGUACUCCUCGCGGUAAAAUCAUUUCCAAAAUCCACGCAUUGACCCUGUGGACCGGGUUAAUUUUCGGGGUGCACACGCGUGUCACCGUGUGCGCAUUCACGCGAGUAUAAAUCCGCGUACACACGCGUACACACGUGGAGGCGUGCGAAAACGUGGGUGCGCGCGAGCCAGGACACGCACAGGGAAAGCAUGUGAGAAGGCACACGAACAGGAAGGUGUAUUGAAUCGACGAGUAUCAUGCAGUUGACAGCUAGAGCUAAUUGAAUCUUGACUCUAUCUAUCUGUCGACCCGAGCUGAGACCCAAACGCCGCCGCCGACGCCGCCGCUGCUGCUGCGAAUUGCAUUUCCGUUCGACAGAAUCGUUCGCGCUCGAGAAUUCUAUCUUCUCCCCCUCCGCCUUUAAUCCUCUUCGUUUUUGUAAUAUAGAAUUACACGGAAAUUCAGCGACUCUGAAACUGCAAGAGGCUAACAUCUUUUAUUUUCUUCUACUCUUGUGCACUGAUCGAGUAUGAUUACAAUUUGCUACAAAGGCAGGAAACUUUAAUAUUAUUUUAAAAAUAAUAAAUGAUUCUUGGAAGGAUAAGAUAAUUCUUUCUGUUGCAGCCUUGAAGAAUGUUUUGCUAUAAAGAGAUUCCUGUAUAAAGGAUGGAAUAUUAUUCAUUUGGAAAAGAGUAAAAUGAUGAUUUUUAAUGGACUGUUUUUUUUAUCACUGUUUCAUCAUUUUGUUUACGCAAAAAGCUGUAAGAUGUACCAUUCCUUUUUCCCCUGUUUAUUUCAACAAGAAACACGAUACAAAAUGUUAUAGAGAGCUCAUGAAAGAACGACGGUGUGUGUACGAUGGUUCGAAGGGAAUCUCUUUUAUUAGGAACGGAAAUUUCUUUUCAGCGUAAAUUGAAUGGAAGAUUUCCGUGCAGCAGGGCAUUCAAUUACGUGGUGGAUCAAUGGGAGCUCUCAAUGAAAUUUUAAUUGGAAAAGAGCAAGAUGUACAGGGCGAGAGAUGCAACAGAAUGUUCCUUGAUCAAAGGUGCAAUAGACGUUUCGAGCACAUCGUUUGCAACAUUAUUUUCGAUCUCAAGUUUCUCGCGAUUUAACUCAAUUAAAAAGGUAAAGGAAGGAUCAGUGAUGAUAGAGUAGACUUUAACAGAAUAAUCAGCGUUGACUGCUAGGAGAGUUACCUAUUUAAUUUAAGACAUAUCGAAACGUUAAUUGUUUAACUAAAUUAGACCCAGCCAUUGUUGCAGUAAACGCGUUAACCAUUGCAAUAUUCUUGUAAACAGAAGAAGUGAAAGAGGCGAGAUAGAAAGAGCGAGGAAGACGUAGAAUGGGGAUUGGUAUCACCGUCUAGGAUUCUAUAAUCCGUACGAUCUUUAUCGUUAAAUUCUGUACCCGUGGACCGAUGCCUCGAUUGCGCAAUCAAGAUGGCAUCGAGAAAGGCAUCUCUCGCCUUCGACUCAAACUACCAACAAGUAUUUCAAUAUCCGCUCCAAUAUAUUCCCAUCGACCCUAUAAACGUGUGUGCAGUUAUAUUGGAUUCCCUUCCUCCUGCUUCUGCUUCGCUCUUUCCGUCUCCUUCGCGCACGUCCCGUCCCGUCGGUUUUUCCGUUCUCCCUUCCUUCGGGGUAGGUGAAACGAGCUCAACCAAUCGGCUGGUGACGUGCACACAGGACCGAGUACCGUUUCUACGGGACGUGUGUGCAUAUCCACCCCGAAGGAAACCGCAUUUAAACGUGUUUGGUAACCCUGUAAAAGAUUCUUCGUCCCCGCGUUCCUCACCGCGAAGAAUGGGAACCUUCGGGUUAUUCCUGGGCGGCGAGGGACGUGACGGGAGAGCUAUAAGCGAGACGAUGAUCCUUUUAAUUUCCUCCUUAUUGAAGAU